rnacentral:tRNA from 1 species
GCUGGUUUAGCUCAGUGGUUCUGGCACCUGUCUCGCAAGCAGAAGGACCCGAGUUUGAUCCCCGGUACCAAUA